AGAGUUUGAUCAUGGCUCAGAUUGAACGCUGGCGGCAUGCUUUACACAUGCAAGUCGAACGGGGUGAGGGGGCAACUCCUCAUUCAGUGGCGAACGGGUGAGUAAUGCAUCGGAACGUGUCCCGUAGUGGGGGAUAACGCCGCGAAAGCGGCGCUAAUACCGCAUACGCUCUACGGAGGAAAGCGGGGGAUCGCAAGACCUCGCGCUAAGGGAGCGGCCGAUGUCCGAUUAGCUUGUUGGUGGGGUAAUGGCUUACCAAGGCGACGAUCGGUAGCUGGUCUGAGAGGAUGAUCAGCCACACUGGGACUGAGACACGGCCCAGACUCCUACGGGAGGCAGCAGUGGGGAAUUUUGGACAAUGGGGGAAACCCUGAUCCAGCCAUGCCGCGUGCGGGAAGAAGGCCUUCGGGUUGUAAACCGCUUUUAGCCGGGACGAAAGCGCUACGGAUAACACCCGUGGCGGUUGACGGUACCGGCGGAAUAAGCACCGGCUAACUACGUGCCAGCCGCCGCGGUAAUUC
rnacentral:rRNA from 1 species